AGAGAGAGACAUGCGCGCAUAUCAAUAAGCGGAGGAAAAGAAACUAACAAGGAUUCCCUUAGUAACGGCGAGUGAAGCGGGAAGAGCUCAAAUUUGAAAUCUUCAAGGUUCUACCUUGACGAAUUGUAGUUUAAAGAAGUGUUUUCUGUUGGAGUUUUGGUAAAAGUUCUUUGGAAUAGGACAUCAUAGAGGGUGAGAAUCCCGUAUUUGACCAUUAUUUCCAGCUUUGUGAUACACUUUCAAAGAGUCGGAUUGUUUGGGGAUGCAGUCCAAAAUGGGUGGUAAAUUUCAUCUAAAGCUAAAUAUUGGCGAGAGACCGAUAGCGAACAAGUACUGUGAGGGAAAGAUGAAAAGAACUUUGAAAAGAGAGUUAAACAGUACGUGAAAUUGUCAAAAGGGAAGCGUUUGACACCAGUGUUGUUUUCUCGAAAAUCAAUUAAAAAUGGCUCGAUUUUGUAUUGCUUGAGACCUUAGAAGCUCACUGUACAUUUUUCGUGUCUUUUUUAAUGCACUUUUCGUUUAACAAGUCAACAUCAGUUUCUUUUGUUGUAAAAGGGUCAUUGGAAGGUGGCUUUCUUUUCGGAGAAAGUGUUUAUAGCCUUUGGCCUCUGCAAUCGGAGAGACUGAGGUCUGCAGCGUAGACUCUUCGGGGUUAGAUACAUUUGUGCUAAGUUAUAGCUUUUUAUAGACAACUUGUUGACUAUAAUUAGUCUUGUAGCUUACUCGCUUAUGCUAUUUUACCUACGCUUAGGAUGUUGAAGUCAUCGUAUCGCGC
rnacentral:rRNA from 1 species